UUUUUAGGUGUUCUAACUACUAUUGUUUGCGGAAUUAAAAGUACAUAAAAUAAAGAACAUAGAGAUUUUUAUGUGGAAAACACCUUGCUCAAAAGAUGAAAAACCCAUGACCUACUACUCACUAGUAUUUUUCCAAACUUCCACUAAAAUCAUUAAGCCAAAACAACAUUUACAAAACCUCUUUAUAAUCCUAAGGAUUAACUCUAAUCCCUUUGUAG
rnacentral:lncRNA from 1 species